rnacentral:rRNA from 1 species
UACGUAGGGUGCGAGCGUUAAUCGGAAUUACUGGGCGUAAAGCGUGCGCAGGCGGUUCGUUAAGUUCGUUGUGAAAGCCCCGGGCUCAACCUGGGAACUGCAAUGGAAACUGGCGGCUUGAGUGUGGCAGAGGGGGUGGAAUUCCGCGUGUAGCAGUGAAAUGCGUAGAGAUGCGGAGGAACACCGAUGGCGAAGGCAGCCCCCUGGGCCAACACUGACGCUCAGGCACGAAAGCGUGGGGAGCAAACAGG